CAACUCGCUCCGCUGCAUCGUUCCGUUUUUCUAUGCGUUACGGGACCUGUAACAAACUACCAGGAUAACAGGAGCAGUGAAGAGAUAUAGUCAGCACACAACAAACACAUACAGCAAAUCACUUUGUUGUUUACAACAGGGCUAUUAAGCAACAUACCAAAAUUAAUAAGCCCGCAGUCAACAUACGUCGACGUUGAUUGUUUAGCCAGUUGAAGAAGAACGAAUGAAUCUAACUACAAAGGGUUGCUUGCGUCCUUCAACAAUGCACGGCGAAUUUUACUAUACAAAACGAUUCUGCCACACAUUUUCAUAUACAAACAAACCAACAGUUAAAACAAAAUAUAUAAUCAAUAGUAAAUAAAUAUUUAAAAUUUUUGUCAUGAACAUAUAUAUUG